ACUCCGGGGAUAACAGGCUGAUACCGCCCAAGAGUUCAUAUCGACGGCGGUGUUUGGCACCUCGAUGUCGGCUCAUCACAUCCUGGGGCUGAAGUAGGUCCCAAGGGUAUGGCUGUUCGCCAUUUAAAGUGGUACGCGAGCUGGGUUUAGAACGUCGUGAGACAGUUCGGUCCCUAUCUGCCGUGGGCGCUGGAGAACUGAGGGGGGCUGCUCCUAGUACGAGAGGACCGGAGUGGACGCAUCACUGGUGUUCGGGUUGUCAUGCCAAUGGCACUGCCCGGUAGCUAAAUGCGGAAGAGAUAAGUGCUGAAAGCAUCUAAGCACGAAACUUGCC
rnacentral:rRNA from 1 species